CUUCUGUAUUAAGCAGCCCAUUCAGUAGCCUGGCAUUUAAGCUAAGUUCUACGGAAUCCUGUAUGCUGAUGCAAUUGUUUUUGAGAGAGUUAGGUCCAGAAUGUUGCUUAGUUUCUAUUCUGAAAGCAUCUCUGCCAACUCUAGAGAGUUUAGAUAUCUACUUAUUUAUAUCUACAUCUAUCUAUAUUUAUAUUAAACAAAAGUGACAGGACAUGGUAAUAGAUGCAAUGUAUAGGUGAAUUAGAGAGAGGUAUCAAGCUUGACUCCCAGGUUUCUGAUAGAAUGGCUGAAUUGAUGGCAAUACCUUUCACUGAGAGGAAACAUUGGCAGAAAACCAGUUUUGAAUGAAGAGGAUGCUUCCUUUUCCUUCUGACAUGAGUGGAACCAGCCAUAGGCCCUCAUCAGAGGCAGAUGCUGGCACUUUGCUUCUCGUACAGCCUGCAG
rnacentral:lncRNA from 1 species